rnacentral:rRNA from 1 species
CAGCCGCCACGGUAAAACGAAGGGUGCAAGCGUUACUCGGAAUUACUGGGCGUAAAGCGUGCGUAGGUGGUGGUUUAAGUCCGUUGUGAAAGCCCUGGGCUCAACCUGGGAAUUGCAGUGGAUACUGGGUCACUAGAGUGUGGUAGAGGAUAGUGGAAUUUCCGGUGUAGCAGUGAAAUGCGUAGAGAUCGGAAGGAAUAUCUGUGGCGAAGGCGACUAUCUGGGCCAACACUGACACUGAGGCACGAAAGCGUGGGGAGCAAACAGGAUUAGAUACCCCCGUAGUCCCUGUCUCUUAUAC